GUGCAGCAGGCGAGAAUACUUUACAAUGUGCGAAAGCACGAUAAGGGAACUCUGAGUGCCUCCUAAGGAGGCUGUUCAGGUGUCUAAAAGCACCUGGAGUAAGGGCUGGGGAAGACCGGUGCCAGCCGCCGCGGUAACACCGGCAGCCCAGGUGGUAGCCACUUUUAUUGGGUCUAAAGCGUCCGUAGCCGGUUGAGUAAGUUCCUUGGGAAAUUUGGCUGCUCAACAGUCAAGCUUCCAGGGAAUACUGCUCGACUUGGGACUGGGAGAGGUCAGAGGUACUCCAGGGGUAGGGGUGAAAAUCCAUUAAUCCCUGGGGGACCACCGGUAGCGAAGGCGUCUGACCAGACCAGGUCCGACGGUGAGGGACGAAGGCUAGGGUCGCGAACCGGAUUAGAUACCCCGUAGU
rnacentral:rRNA from 1 species